GACGAACGCUGGCGGCGUGCUUAACACAUGCAAGUCGAACGGAAAGGCCCUGCUUUUGUGGGGUGCUCGAGUGGCGAACGGGUGAGUAACACGUGAGUAACCUGCCCUUGACUUUGGGAUAACUUCAGGAAACUGGGGCUAAUACCGGAUAGGAGCUCCUGCUGCAUGGUGGGGGUUGGAAAGUUUCGGCGGUUGGGGAUGGACUCGCGGCUUAUCAGCUUGUUGGUGGGGUAGUGGCUUACCAAGGCUUUGACGGGUAGCCGGCCUGAGAGGGUGACCGGCCACAUUGGGACUGAGAUACGGCCCAGACUCCUACGGGAGGCAGCAGUGGGGAAUAUUGCACAAUGGGCGGAAGCCUGAUGCAGCAACGCCGCGUGCGGGAUGACGGCCUUCGGGUUGUAAACCGCUUUCGCCUGUGACGAAGCGUGAGUGACGGUAAUGGGUAAAGAAGCACCGGCUAACUACGUGCCAGCAGCCGCGGUGAUACGUAGGGUGCGAGCGUUGUCCGGAUUUAUUGGGCGUAAAGGGCUCGUAGGUGGUUGAUCGCGUCGGAAGUGUAAUCUUGGGGCUUAACCCUGAGCGUGCUUUCGAUACGGGUUGACUUGAGGAAGGUAGGGGAGAAUGGAAUUCCUGGUGGAGCGGUGGAAUGCGCAGAUAUCAGGAGGAACACCAGUGGCGAAGGCGGUUCUCUGGGCCUUUCCUGACGCUGAGGAGCGAAAGCGUGGGGAGCGAACAGGCUUAGAUACCCUGGUAGUCCACGCUGUAAACGGUGGGUACUAGGUGUGGGGUCCAUUCCACGGGUUCCGUGCCGUAGCUAACGCUUUAAGUACCCCGCCUGGGGAGUACGGCCGCAAGGCUAAAACUCAAAGGAAUUGACGGGGCCCCGCACAAGCGGCGGAGCAUGCGGAUUAAUUCGAUGCAACGCGUAGAACCUUACCUGGGUUUGACAUGGAUCGGGAGCGCUCAGAGAUGGGUGUGCCUCUUUUGGGGUCGGUUCACAGGUGGUGCAUGGCUGUCGUCAGCUCGUGUCGUGAGAUGUUGGGUUAAGUCCCGCAACGAGCGCAACCCUUGUUCACUGUUGCCAGCACGUUAUGGUGGGGACUCAGUGGAGACCGCCGGGGUCAACUCGGAGGAAGGUGGGGAUGACGUCAAGUCACCAUGCCCCUUAUGUCCAGGGCUUCACGCAUGCUACAAUGGCUGGUACAGAGAGUGGCGAGCCUGUGAGGGUGAGCGAAUCUCGGAAAGCCGGUCUCAGUUCGGAUUGGGGUCUGCAACUCGACCUCAUGAAGUCGGAGUCGCUAGUAAUCGCAGAUCAGCAACGCUGCGGUGAAUACGUUCCCGGGGCU
rnacentral:rRNA from 1 species